CAUUAAUGUUUACAUGAGUUAAUGUAGUUUGUACAAUUCAAUGAAUUGAAUAAUUUUCCUAAUUAAUCUACCAAAAAAAAAUCAGUAGGAUUUCUUGAGAUAUCUGAAAUCCAUUGAGGAACCAAUACAGUCUAACUUAGUUCUGCAAAGAUUCAACAAUUUCAACAACUCAGUAAUCUUCUCUUUCGUGCUUUCAUCACAACCAACCUGUAAGAGUAUCAGUAGCUUCUGUAAUGCACUCACUUUAAGUUGAAGUGCUUCAGCUACAACACCUCCUUCCUCUCUCUUCUCAUUCUUGCAAAGCUUCCAGAGAAUUGACACUGAGAAUUUUGAUGCCAAUUCUGAUGCUAAAAUCUUCUGAAACAACACAGGAAUGAUUAGAGCAUUCUCAUACGCCUUUUCUCUCCCUUCUUUGGAGUCACAAACAUGGUCCAAAACGCCCAAAGCCUUUUCACAUAUGCUUUUAUCUCCAUCAACAAGAACCUCUAUAAUCAGAGAGACCAAACCCAGUUCCACAAAUAUUGAUGCAAUCUUGUGGCUGAUUGCUGAAGGAGAUAUCAUGUAGAAUAUAACCAUUAAUGAAGCCUUCGAGGAAGCUGGGCAAAUUGGCUCCUUGAUUAACUCGACUAGUGCUUGAAUAACUCCUUCUAUCUCCACCAAGGUAUUUACAUGCUUUUGAUCUAAAGAAAGAAGCUCUUUAAGUACCAAAACUGCACUUUGUCUAGCUGAAAGGUCUCCGUUACUCUUCAAAAGCCAUAACAUGCAACGUAAAGAAAUCACUGAUCCUAGCUUGGUUUGGCCUUCUCCACCAAGCGGAAACAUCCAUACCAGGACUGAUAAUAUCUCUACCAACAAAUCUGCAUAUUUCUCCACCGUAGAAGAGCUACUUAUUGCUUGUGCAAAUGACUCAAAAGCAGCUGCUAAUACACAGCCAGCUCCAUUAUCCACAAUAGACCUUUUAUUUCGUUCGCUUUCCUUUCCCCAGUACUUGAUCUUCAACACCAAUUCUUUACACUUCUUAUGAUCCCCACGUUGAGUUGCCGCUACAAUUCUCUUACAAAUAUCUGAAACCUCGUACGGCGUGACCGGAAUACGAGGAGUAGGAAUUCUUUCAAUCCCAUAAGAUCGAUUCUCAACACACCAGUCUUGGAUCAUCUUGCGUAUGAAAUGGUUUGGUAUUUGAUCGAUGCUCAACAAAACCUGAUUAGUAACAGGACAAGUCUGGUUACCAUCUUCUAUCCACUUGUCAAUGCUUUCUCGAUCAUAAGUGAUCCCCGUCGACAAAGUAACCGGAUCUUUCAUCAAGUCAAGAGAAAUCGGGCACCGGAAAUGAAUUGGAACCAAGAUUUCCAUCUCCAAAUUAUCGUGGGAAUCAUCAUCGUUGAGCUUGUUCUUUCUUGCAAGACGAGCCGUAUCUCUUCUUCUCCUCCAAGAUAACAUCAUGAACGAUAGAUCAAAAGAAGAAAUAUUAAAAAAAG
rnacentral:misc_RNA from 1 species